GCCUCUAUAGCUCAGUGGUAGAGCACUUGUUUCGUAAACAAGGGGUCCAGGGUUCGAAUCCCUGUAGAGGCU
rnacentral:tRNA from 1 species